UCCCAUGCCAUCCAUUUAAUCCCUCGGUUGUUACUCCUUCCUCCCCACCAAAAUGCAUUAAUCAUCUUCUCAAUAUCAUCUAGAAUUGAAUUCGGCAGAAGAUAAAUACUCAUUAUGUAAGAAGGAAUAGAUUGUAACACAAAUUUGAUCAUAACUUCCUUACCCGCCUUCGAUAAUACCUGUCCCCUCCAUGCAUUUAUUCGUUUCCAGAUACGAUCCUUGAUAAAAGAAAAAAUGGACCGCUUAUCUCUACCAAUCAUCGAAGGUAAACCCAAAUACUUUCCGGUACCCAUCACAUGUCGGACACCAAUAAUGCGUGACAAAUCCUCCUGCGCCGCCCCACUCAUAUUGUGACUGAAAAACAUGGACCGCUUAUCUCUACCAAUCAUCGAAGGUAAACCCAAAUACUUUCCGGUACCCAUCACAUGUCGGACACCAAUAAUGCGUGACAAAUCCUCCUGCGCCGCCCCACUCAUAUUGCGACUGAAAAACACUUCAGACUUUGAUAAGUUAAUUUCUUGUCUAGACGUUGUCUCGUAAGUUCUAAGAAUAGCGAGUAAAUGUUGUGCUUCCACCACAUUGGCCCUGCAAAACAAGAAACAAUCGUCUGCAAACAACAGAUGGGACACCACUGGUGCACCGCAACAUACUUGUACCCCGUGAAUAUCACCUCUGUUAACUGCCUUA
rnacentral:lncRNA from 1 species